rnacentral:rRNA from 1 species
AACGGCCGUAACAUGCUGAAUAUAUCGGUUCUCGUUCGAUCACCGAAGUUAAGCAUCAUUGGGCGCGGUCAGUACUUGGGUGGGUGACCACCUGGGAACACUGCGUGCCGUU